UAACAAUCUAGGGCUCGUCAUUUGCGCGCUUCACUGGAGAGGCGGCAGGCUUUUGUUAUUUGGGAGCCGGGAAAAUCGAUUCUGUCGCGAAGAUUCGAGGUCAAGAAUCUCCUUGUUUAUUCCGAACUUCAUCGAUCCGAUCCAAAAAUUUUCUGGUUCUGACGAUUUCGAUGGCGAAAUUAGGCUUCUGGUCUUGUUUAUUCGGAAAUUUGUCGAUCCGAUCCAAAAGUUUUCUGGUUCCGAUGAUUUCGAAGGCGAAACUAGGCGAAACUAGGCUUCUGUUCUUGUUUUUAAAGGAAAUGUGUGAACGUUUGUUCUUCAUGGUGCUGAUGAUGAGAACAUUUCAGGCAUGAGCCGCAGCAAUACGAUUGCGCUCCGUGUAGACGAGAUUUCUACAUGGGUUGUUGCUGCGAUGAAGAAUGUGCCAAAAUGCUAAUCUGAAGCUAUUAUUUUUUUUUACUCAA